rnacentral:rRNA from 1 species
UACGGAGGGUGCAAGCGUUAUCCGGAUUCACUGGGUUUAAAGGGUGCGUAGGUGGGCUUGUAAGUCAGUGGUGAAAUCUCCGGGCUUAACCCGGAAACUGCCAUUGAUGCUAUAGGUCUUGAAUUAUCUGGAGGUCAGCGGAAUAUGUCAUGUAGCGGUGAAAUGCUUAGAUAUGACAUAGAACACCAAUUGCGAAGGCAGCUGGCUACAGGUAUAUUGACACUGAGGCACGAAAAGCGUGGGGGAUCAAA